GAGCGGGAUCCCUGGUGUAGCAAUACAACGGGGUGAGAGCGGCGAAAGGGUGAGCAUCGCGUAGGUAACCUACCCCCAAGCUGGGGAUAACCCCGCGAAAGCGGGGCUAAUACCGAAUGUGGUCACAUCGGCGCAUGCCGGAGUGACGGAAGGCGGGGACCCUUCGGGGCCUGUCGCUUGGGGAGGGGCCUGCGUCCCAUCAGCUAGUUGGUGAGGUAACGGCCCACCAAGGCUUACGGGUAGCUGGUCUGAGAGGAUGGUCAGCCACACUGGGACUGAGACACUGCCCAGACUCCUACGGGAGGCUGCG
rnacentral:rRNA from 1 species